ACCUGGUUUGAUCCUGCCCAGUAAGUUCAUAUGCUUGUUUUCAAAAGAUAAGCCCAUGCAUGGUAAGUACACACCAUCCUAAGGUGAGACCGCGAAUGGCUCAUUAAAUCAGUAUGGUUCAUUAGACGAGUUAAAUCCCACUUGGAUAACUGUGGUAAUUCUAGAGCUAAUACAUGACUCCAAGCUCCGACCGUUAAGGAAAGAGCGCUUUUAUUAGACCAAGACCAAUCGGACUUUGUCCGUUUCCUUUGGUGACUCUGAAUAACCUUUUGAAGAUCGCACGGUCUCGAACUGGCGACGCGUCUUUCAAAUGUCUGCCUUAUCAACUGUCGAUGGUAGGUUAUGUGCCUACCAUGGUUGUAACGGGUAACGGAGAAUCAGGGUUCGACUCCGGAGAGGGAGCCUGAGAAACGGCUGCCACAUCCAAGGAAGGCAGCAGGCACGCAAAUUACCCACUCCCGGCACGGGGAGGUAGUGACGAAAAAUAACGAUGCGGGACUCUUCCGAGGCCCCGUAAUCGGAAUGAGUACACUUUAAAUCCUUUAACGAGGAUCAAUUGGAGGGUAAGUCUGGUGCCAGCAACCGCGGUAAUUCCAGCUCCAAUAGCGUAUACUAAAGUUGUUGCGGCUAAAAAGCUCGUAGUUGGAUUUCAGUCGUAGGCCGGUGGUCCACCGCCCGGUGGCUACUGCCUGGCCUAGGCACCUUGCCGGCUCUCCCGCGAUGCUCUUGAUCGGGUGUCGUGGGUGGCCGGAACGUUUACUUUGAAAAAAAUAGAGUGCUCCAAGCAGGCGUUACGGCCUGAAUAACACAGCAUGGAAUAAUGGAACAGGACCUUGGUUCUGUUUUGUUGGUCUUCGGAAGCUAAGGUAAUGAUUAAUAGGGACGGACGGGGGCAUUCGUAUUGCGACGCUAGAGGUGAAAUUCUUGGACCGUCGCAAGACGAACUACUGCGAAAGCAUUUGCCAAGAACGCUUUCAUUAAUCAAGAACGAAAGUCAGAGGUUCGAAGGCGAUCAGAUACCGCCCUAGUUCUGACCAUAAACGAUGCCAACCAGCGAUCCGCCGGAGUUACUCCCAUGACUCGGCGGGCAGCUUCCGGGAAACCAAAGUGUUUGGGUUCCGGGGGAAGUAUGGUUGCAAAGCUGAAACUUAAAGGAAUUGACGGAAGGGCACCACCAGGAGUGGAGCCUGCGGCUUAAUUUGACUCAACACGGGACACCUCACCCGGCCCGGACACCGGAAGGAUUGACAGACUGAGAGCUCUUUCUUGAUUCGGUGGGUGGUGGUGCAUGGCCGUUCUUAGUUGGUGGAGUGAUCUGUCUGGUUAAUUCCGAUAACAAAACGAAA
rnacentral:rRNA from 1 species